UAUCCACUACUACAGACCACCGGUACAGCAGCCGCCCCCCAGCAGCUGUAUUAAUAUGCAUAUCUGCAGCUCUUCUUUUUAUCAUCACAGCAAUUUUAAUACUAAUAUUUUUUUGUGUUUUACGACAGAGGGCAUGUAAGAAGCAAGAUAGAAACUCUACUGGAAGUGAAAAGGGACAUUCAGAGGGGGAAAUGGAGUUGGAUGUGAUUUAUUCUACUGUUCAAGUUGGUAGCUUUCAACAACCGAAUGCCAUCACAUCUGCUACUGAGUGUGUGUACAGUGAGGUUAAAGUGUAGAAGAAAAAGCAGGAUUUAUAUAAUACACUCUCCACACAUUAUCAGUACUACAGUAAUAUACUAUAUCUAAAUAUUAAAAUAUUUAUUGCAGCACAGAUUAAUCAUAGAUAGUGUUUUAAUGUCAGUUGUUUUUUAGUUUAUAAUGUUCACUAUCUGCUGAAGAGGUAUCUGCAAUAUGGUUGUCCUGCUUGCUUUAGAAUACAAAAUACAGGAUACAAAACAGAACUUCUUAAUUUAAUUUUAUGUUUUAUGUUCACAGUUAUUAAUUGUAAUAAAUAUUUGCAUAUUAAAUGUUGAAUCAAGCCUACAUAUGUACAGUAUAAGUCACAAGUUUGUAAGACAUAUCUUGUAAAAUGGUUCUUUAUUUAUUCAUUUUUUUGUUUCUUUAUUUUUUUUAUAUUUUUAACAUUAUAUUGUAUAUUACUAUUAAAAACACUGAAAUCAUGACAGAACAAAUAUAGAAUUAUGUAGUAAUUAAAAAAUAAAUUACAAAUUUGGACUCUUUAGGCCAGUUGACAGUUUUCCACUGAUAUAAUGCCCAUUCCUUGUGUUUCUUGACCUAAGCCGCUUGUUCUUCUAAAUUAAGGGUUUCUUUGUUGCAAUUUGACAAUGAAGGCAUGACUCACACAGUCUCCUUUAAACACUUGAUGUUGAAAAAUGUCUGAAGCUUGAACGAGAAGGAUUUAUAUGAGCCCUAAUAUGAGUUGGUGUAAAUCUGCACUUUUGGAGGCUGGUCAUUCUAAUAAACUUAACUUCUGCAACAAAAAUAGCUCUUGGUCUUCCUUUUCUGGGUGGUCAUCAUAAGAGCCAGUUUCAUCAUAGUGUUUGGUGGUUUUGGGCAACUGCACUUGGAGCUACAUUUAAAGUUCUUGAGAUUUUUCUGA